rnacentral:rRNA from 1 species
CUAUGCGCCUUGCCCAGCCCGCUCAGGUGUGCCAGCCGCCGCGGUAAUACGGAGGAUGCGAGCGUUAUCCGGAUUUAUUGGGUUUAAAGGGUGCGUAGGUGGUUAAUUAAGUCAGCGGUGAAAGUUUGUGGCUCAACCAUAAAAUUGCCGUUGAAACUGGUUGACUUGAGUAUAUUUGAGGUAGGCGGAAUGCGUGGUGUAGCGGUGAAAUGCAUAGAUAUCACGCAGAACUCCGAUUGCGAAGGCAGCUUACUAAACUAUAACUGACACUGAAGCACGAAAGCGUGGGGAUCAAACAGG